rnacentral:rRNA from 1 species
AAAGCACUUUUGUCCGGGAAGAAAUCCUUUCUGAUAAUACCGGAGGGGGAUGACGGUACCGGAAGAAUAAGCACCGGCUAACUACGUGCCAGCAGCCGCGGUAAUACGUAGGGUGCGAGCGUUAAUCGGAAUUACUGGGCGUAAAGCGUGCGCAGGCGGUGAUGUAAGACCGAUGUGAAAUCCCCGGGCUUAACCUGGGAACUGCAUUGGUGACUGCAUCGCUGGAGUAUGGCAGAGGGGGGUGGAAUUCCACGUGUAGCAGUGAAAUGCGUAGAGAUGUGGAGGAACACCGAUGGCGAAGGCAGCCCCCUGGGCCAAUACUGACGCUCAUGCACGAA